CUAAGCGGGGAGCGGCGCACAGUCACUGUACGGCGCAGGCCCGCGCGUGCGCAAUGGCGUCCCGCCAGAUUACAAAAGGAGGUCGCUCCCUGGGCGCGCAGACCGCGUGGGGGAGGGGGAGGGCGUCUCCGCCCCUAACGGGCGGAGGCGGGGCGGCCGGCCGGAAGUGGCGGGGACAGAAGAGGAAGCGCGGGUUUCUUGCGAGCCAGAGGACCGGGUUAGACGCGAACCCUCAGUCUCCCGCCCGCUGGUUUGCUCCCGACCUAGGCGGAGAGCUAGCUGCCAGGGCCGGUCGGGCGCCGAGUGACCCGGCUCCGCCAGCUCCUGAGGGAGAGACAGGGAGUGGACGGACGAGGCGGGCUCCAACCGCCAUGUUAGCGGAGUCCUAAGAAACCGCGCGAGCCACAGCCCAGCAGGACCUCGUGGCGCAACGGUAGCGCGUCUGACUCCAGAUCAGAAGGCUGCGUGUUCGAAUCACGUCGGGGUCAUGGCUCUUUUGUCUUUUUGCUUUUUUGAAUUCAUUAGUUUCAUGCGAGCCAUGGUGUGUUCCCGCCAUUUUUCGAAAAUGCUUUUGGGGUUAUAAAGCUUCGUUCAAAAGUUACCGUAGUACUUUAGCUGCUGAAAAAUAAGGCUUACCAUAAAUUGUAACGCCUGAAGGCCGUUUUUAGGCCUUGUAAUGUGAAGGGGCUUUUUUUUUUUUUUUGAGUGGGUGUGUGUAAUUAAUUACUUGAGAGAUGGUCUUAACUGUUCUGCGUUAAGCGUUUUCUUUCUCACAGCAAUUACACAAUAUUGCGGUACUGUUUCUCCAAAAGUGGUUUUAAUCUGUUUGCCUUUUGAAAGCAAGUACGAUCGCGUACAAUCUAUUAAAUAAUGCAAGUUUUGAGCAGCAGAAAAGUUGUAUUUUAAGCCACUGGGUGCCAAACGUUGGAUUUAGCGCCAUGAAAGUAGCGUAAACUGGAAUGGAGUCAUAAAACGGAGGCACUAACUCUGCCCCCGGUCAUGUAGCCCAUUACAAGGUGAUGCAACCUAUUUUGUCUGCAUUGAAAAGGUUAGUUUGUACAAAUAACAUGUUCGGUUCAAGCUAAGUGUGACAAAAAGUGCACUAGAUGCAAAGUGGGGGAAGGUAGAUUUAAACACAGAGUUGUCUAUCCGAAGUUUUCAUGUUGGAGCUCUAACUCGCUCCCUUCCCCCAUCCUUAGUAACUCGGAAUGUGGCUAUUUGGAGACAGGACUUUUGAAGCAUUGAUUAAGUAAAAAUUAGUCUCUUGGAGUCCUAAUGCAGUAGUAGGACUGGCAUCAUACUUUGGAUACAUGUCAAGGAUGUGUGCACAUAGAAAGUUCGUGUUAGGCUAGAACAAGAAGGCAGCAACCCUCAAAAAAGCCAAUGUUGUCUACUUCUACAGGGAAAGGGCUGGGGAGAUAAAUGAGAGACAGACCAUACAGGAAGGAGCUUGUGUCCUCCUAAUUUAUUCUGAGGUCAAUGUAGGCUGUUAUAGCAAUUCAUGACUUUGUCAUUCAUGACUUUAACAAGAUCACCAAGAACACAGAACAUGGCCUAGACUUCCCGGACUGCACCCUAGGGAUAACUGGGGAAGAAAAGACUGCAGGUCCUGUUUACCAUACAAGACAGACGAAUUCAGAUUGGCUAAGUCUAUGAAUUAUAUUUGUGCUCGGUGCUGUCAGAGACCAAAAGAGGGUUUUGGAUCCCCUGAAACUGGAGUUGAGGACAGCUGUGAGCUGCCAUGUAGGUGCUGGGAAUUGAGCCUAAGUCCUCUACAAAAACAACAAAUGUUCUUAACCACUGAGCCCUCUCAGAGCCCUGGAGGGUGUAUGGUGUUCCUCCUGUCUUCCUGUCUAUCUCUGCUUCUCAGUUGCCAUGAGGUGAGAGUUCCCCACACCUUGCCCAUCUGUGAUAAUGUUAAUGCCUUGUCCCAGCCCUAAGAGAGAUGGAAGCAGCCAAUCACGGACUGGAAUCACUGAAACUGUGGGCCAACGUGAUCCUUUCAUUCCAGAUGCUGAUUUGCUCAGAUACAAAUGACUAACAGUACUUUUUUCUUUGCAUUUUUAAUUUUUAAAAAUGUGUCUAUGGAUUUUUGGUACCUGCAGGUCAGAAGAGGACACCAGGUCCCUGUGAACUGGAGUUAUAGGCAGCUGUAAACUGAUGGAGCUGCUGGGAACUGAACUCCAAUCCUUUAGAAAAGCAACCAGGGUUCUUAAUUGCUGAGUCAUCCCUCCAGGCCCUGCAUGGUUUUAACUCAUUGAUGAUGAUGAUGAUGAUGUAUAAUUUGCACAUGCCUGAUGUAGGGGGCACAGAGAGGUCAGAAGACAACUCUAUGGAGUCAUGUCUCCACCUCUGUGUUGGUUCUGCAUAUGGCACAAGCACACUGACCCACUGAACCAUCACUCCAGGUCUGCUUGAUUCUCUUGAUACCAGCUAUGUAGCUUAGGCUGGACUUCAACGCACAGUCAGCCUUCCAAGCAUAAGAAUUACAAACAUGUGCCACCAUUUCCUGCCCCCACAUUUUUUCCCCCUUGAGACAGGGUCUCACCAUGUAGCUGUGGCUGGAACUCAAUAUGUAGACCAGGCUGCCUUCAAACUCAGAGAGAUCCACGAGCUUCUACUUCUCAACUGCUAAGAUUAAGGGCAUGAAGCACCUGGCACAGUCUCUUAUUCUUAAAUAAAUGUCAG
ensembl:lncRNA